GACGAACGCUGGCGGCGUGCUUAACACAUGCAAGUCGAACGAAGAGCGAUGGAAGCUUGCUUCUAUCAAUCUUAGUGGCGCACGGGUGAGUAACGCGUAAUCAACCUGCCCUUCAGAGGGGGCCACCAGUUGGAAACGACUGCUAAUCCCGCAUACUAUCUCAUCUCGGCAUCGAGGAUAGAUUAACGGUGGCCUCUACAUGUAUGCUAUCACUCAAGGUUGGUUUUGCGUUUGAUUAGCUAGUUGGAGGGGUAAGGGACCACCAAGGCGCUGAUCAGUAGCCGGUCUGAGAGGAUGGAAGGCCACAAUGGGACUGGGACAGGGCACAGACGGCUACGGGAGGCAGCAGUGGGGAAACGGCCGGAAGGGAGGAAAGGUAGACGGAACAACGCAGCGGGAGGGAGGACGGGCUUCGGGUUGGAAAGAACGGUUAAUGGGGAGGAAAGGGCUUCUUGCGAAUAGGGAGAAGGAGUGACGGUACCGGAAUAGAAAGCCACGGCUAACUACGUG
rnacentral:rRNA from 1 species